CCACAACUCUCAAAAUCGGCAAAACCAAAGUAGCGGUACCACUGACGGCGCCACCUUUGUUCGCUGCACCGUACACCAGUACACAUAGGUUUAAGACUAGAAUAUUCUGUACCUACCCUUACACGCUGAGUCCUACCUUCUAGGUAGCUGCUCAUCAAUCGUACAGCAGACUCCCCGAAGCCAAAGUUAUUACGUAAUUUUAUGCAAAGUAGUCUAUGGUUGACCGAGUCGAAGGCUUUAGAGAAGUCUAGCAAGCAUAACAAAGUUAAUUGGACUGUACACGAAGGUUUUUUAGAUUACGCCACAAAACAUUAUUCGGAUGGGACUUAUAGGCUUGCCAGUUGAUAUCGGUUCGGUUCUUCUUCCAAAUAGAGUACGAUUUGUUACGUUUUAUAAUCAUAGACCGAACGACUUUGUUGAACCAAAAGCACGACGGUGAUCGAUUGAGAUGAAGCUUAGGCUCCAACAACCACUCCAAUCAAUGCGGGAUAAGUCAGCAGAUAGACUAUCAAUAUUUAUCAGACGAUAGUCAGGAAAGUUAUGUAGACUAGCUGCUACAUUAUGACUAAAACUGGUGUCAAAUGCACAGAGAAUUAGAUUGCGAUCAAAAAUAAACGACAUCUGGCCAAAUUUUAACACAGUAGACGGAUCAGAAACAAUGAAGUAAUCAAACAGACAAGGACAACAGUUAUUUCCGUACCUUAUAAUAUCAUCAUAAUCGACAGCUAUAACAGACAAUAUAUUAAAAAACGCAUUCACGCUACAACACUUGUGAGGGUUAUACACACACGACAAAAGGACCUUUGAUGAAGAAUUAGAUACCUCAACUAGCAAAUACUCAGUGGUAUUACCAACCGAUUGCGAAACUAGGCGAGUUUUUAGAUAUUUCUUGCAAUACAUCGCCACUCCACCACUCUUCUUAUCUAAUCUGUCGGCCCGAACUAGCUUAUAAUUAUUAAUGGAAAAGUGUGAAUCACAUAUACCAGCCCUAAAUCACGUCUCCGACACACAAAUAACAUCAAUACACGAAUAUUCAAAAGUCCUCCUAACAACAUCCAUCUUCUCAUUGUUUAAACUGCGUGCAUUAAAAUGAACCACAUUAAAGCCUUUCUGUCGGCUGCAUAAAAUAUUAAGUACUGCAAGGCUAUUUAAUUUAUUCGUCAUAACAGUUAGGAAAAGCAAAAACAAAAACAACUUUAAGAUAGUGAAGAAAUGACGAAAAACAGAAACAAGAAAAGCGCUAUCUUUAAUAAAUAUAAAAUACAACAAAAAAUAUCUGAAAAUAUAUGCAUAACUAUACAUCUAACGAAACGGCAGCAGGUCAUCAUCGCUGAUUAAUCUUGUUGAUAUGCUAUUAUUAUUUUCAUCUCUCACAUGCACAAAACCUCUAAAUGUAUACACCUUUAGCAGUUUUCUUUCACGACGCAGUUUUAUGGCCUCUUGCAGUAAACGUCUAUUCUCCUUGGUGAGGCCCUCAAAAAUAUGAAAGCUGCCAGCAAUGCCAAGGGGGUGAAGGGGGGGACCGCCGAUUUAGUUUUCUUGCGAUAUUCGCCAAAGGCGCGUAAAGUGCGGCUACGAUCGAGAGGGGAGUGAAAUUUAAUCACAAUUGCACUGUCGAGUUUUUCACUUGACGAUUUUGUGCGGAAAAUAUCCCUAAUUUGAGGAGCCUAGAAGUCAAUAGAAAGACAAACUUGGUUAAAAAUACUCUUAAGGUUUUCCCCUUCUUUGAAUGGUACACCAAAAGCAUUACACUUUCUAACUCCUUCUUAAUGCAACCACCUAGGGAUGC
rnacentral:lncRNA from 1 species